UUGCUGUUAAUGUCAUCCACUUGGAUACGGCCCCGCUCGUGCGCCUUGCUAGAAACGACUACGAUGCGACUAGGUGCCGACUGCUUCAGUAAAUCCAGCAACAGUGUCCAGACGUGAGUGAUAUUCCAGAUUGCGACCAGCGAAUUGUCUACAAAACUUUAUAUGUUAUGGACGACUGAUAAAAUUGAUAGUGCAACACUCUACAUAUGAAUGUCAAAUAAUCUAAAAACUGCUGCUCAAAUCAAACCUUUAACAUAGAUAACUGGAAGCACAAGUAGAAGACACCAGCGAGCGAGCGAGAGGACUUGUAUUUCCCUAUGAUACUAUGGAACGUACCUUUUGAACCGAGGGCUUUUAGCUUAAAAAGUAAUGGAAUAUGUAUAUGUACACAGUAUCUAUUUUAAACCAAUGAUGAUCAAAUUGGCAAGCAACCGGUUUCGGUAUAGAACACAUUUUAAAAACGGUCAUACAGCGAUGAUCAGCUGGCGUCAAAAGCAAAUAGAAACCUCUGCUGUUAGCCAAGUUAACAGAGGAUUGAAAACAUGAUAGGAAUACUUUCGAUUGUAGAAAAUGAUUCAUUUAUGACUGUCAGAAAGUCUUUUCACGGUAAUAAACGUUUAAUCCUA